AUUGAACGCUGGCGGCAGGCUUAACACCUCCACGUCGAGCGAGCGGCGGACGGGUGAGUCAUGUCUGGGAAACUGCCUGAUGGAGGGGGAUAACUCCUGGAAACGGUAGCUAAUACCGCAUACCAUCAGAUGUGCCCAGAUGGGAUUAGCUAGUAGGUGGGGUCAUGGCUCACCUAGGCGACGAUCCCUAGCUGGUCUGAGAGGCUGACCAGAGAAACUGGAACGGAGACACGGUCCAGACUCCUAGGGGAGGCAGCAGUGGGGAAUAUUGCACAAUGGGCGCAAGCCGGAGGAAGCCAUGCCGCGUGUGUGAAGAAGGCAGUCGGGUUGUAAAGCACUUUCAGCGAGGAGGCGUGACUCGCAGAAGAAGCACCGGCUAACUCCGUGCCAGCAGCCGCGGUAAUAC
rnacentral:rRNA from 1 species